UUAAGUCAAGUCACAUCUGCUCUUUCUGAGUCACAUCAAGUCACAGUUGAUCUUCAUGAAUCAGGAUGAUCUGCUGUGAUGU